rnacentral:ncRNA from 2 species
AACAUUCAACGCUGUCGGUG